rnacentral:tRNA from 1 species
GCCGGUAUAGCUCAGUUGGCAGAGCGUCUCAUUCGUAAUGAGGAAGUCCGUGGUUCGAAUCCGCGUACCGGCACCA